CUCAGGGGCAGCACCGUCAUUUCCCUCCCUCUCCCCCACCACCUCUUCGUGCGCUCGCUCGCCGCAGAUCUAGCUACACUAGCCGCCCUAUUUCAGGUCUCCAGCGCCAUUGCCGCGUGUGGAUUGGACGCUUCAAAAGCCUUUUUAGCCACCUCGUAGCCUCUCACAAGUACUACAUUUUCAUCUCGAAAGAAAGUGAAAUCAUCAAGAACUUGGUGAGAAUCGAUCAAAGAGCAGUGCCAGCUGCAGCUGCAGCAGAGGAUCGGAGGAGGAAGGGGGAGAAGAGGAGAUCGGGGAGUGGAGAGACGAAAAGCAGCAGCAGUAGUUGCAGCAGCAGCAGCAUGGAGGAGAGAGUGAAGAUUGGAGGAGACGGCGAAGAAGAAGAAGAAGAAGAAGCAGAGGAGGAGGAGGCGCCAUUGGAGGUGGUGAGGGCAGCGAAAAGGAGAUUUGGGGUGGUGGUGGUGGUGGGCCCACCCCCCAGCUGAGGAGGAGCAGGAGAAGGAAGAAGAGCGAGGAGGAGAGGAUCUCCUCUCACGUCAAAGGAGGGGGAAAGCAGCAUAAAGGCAGCAGCAGCUACUGGAGGAGAAGAGGAAGCAAGAGAGCUCAGCUUCACUACUUCACUGGCUCGGCCAACCAAAGCAGCAGUCGAAAGCGAGAAAAAAAGCUUAAGAAAGAAAGAAAGCUAGCUUCAGUGAGAGUGAGAAUGUGGGGGGAGAUAGAGAGAGAGAGAGAGAGAGAGAGUCUAGUGUGUCUUGAGAGAGAUAUAUAACACCAACAACUCCCAGCUGUGUGUGUGUGUGUGAGAGAGAGAGAGAGAGAGAGAGAGAGAGAGCAUCUGGUUCUUGUACCACCACCACCACUGCCCCCUUUGCAUUGUCCCUCCCUGGCCACUUCUUUCUCCUUCUCCAUUUUGUGCCUAGCGUACAAGGAGGUGCCCUGCUUGCUGCUGCUGCUGUUCGGAAGCUAUGGCAUUGCAAGAAGAAGAGGAGGAUGAUGAAGAUGAUGAAGAAGGGGAGAAAGAAGAAGAAGAAGACGGUGUCAGGGUGCGUGGGGAGCUCUGAUUUCUCCUUGUCCUGAGGUGUGCUGUCCACUUGUGGAUGUAGUAAGAUAUUGGCACAAUAGGCUCAAUCACUUUUUUCUUUUCCUCUCUUCUUUUCUCACUUCUGCUUAUUUUUGCUGCUUGCUUGCUUCUUCGUCUUUUUUAUUUUCCUUCUUCCCCUCAAUUCAUGAUGACACGUUCUUCCUUCCUUGUGUAAUUUAUCACCGUUCUUGGCGUUUUGCCUGAUUUAGAAUGCAACUGAAAAAAAAGAAAAAGAUCGCAGAGGAAAAAAAAAGGCAGCAGCAGUGGGUGGUGAAAGUAUGGAAA